rnacentral:lncRNA from 1 species
UUUCUACAAACUUCUUGACAUGGGUUGCAUCUCUACUGCAGUCCUUGGCAAGACUGUGAUACUGAUUCAAUUCUUGCCACCAGUUUUUUUAACAGGUUAGAAUAAUCAUUUACUAAUCUAUUCUCUAGUUUGAUUGACAAUGUCUCAACUGUCAGAUCAUAAAUUUACGCGAUGUCCUUGACUUUAAAGUAGAUGAUACUGAUCAUAUCUGUCAAGAGACCAUUUCUGUCUACUACAGACGGAAGGGGCAAAAAGGUAAUUUCACCCACAGAGGGCAAAAUAAUCAAACCACCUGAACGGAUUAGGGUUAGGGUUGACUGUUGUUACCUGCAGAUCCCAUGCCCGCCGCUGCAACCGAAACAGCUGAAUGAUUUCUGCCUCCAUCACUGUCAUGCCUUUAAACACUCUUAAA